rnacentral:rRNA from 1 species
GAAAGCGAGUCUGAAUAGGGCGUUUAGUAUUUGGUCGUAGACCCGAAACCAGGUGAUCUACCCUUGGUCAGGUUGAAGUUCAGGUAACACUGAAUGGAGGACCGAACCGACUUACGUUGAAAAGUGAGCGGAUGAACUGAGGGUAGCGGAGAAAUUCCAAUCGAACCUGGAGAUAGCUGGUUCUCUCCGAAAUAGCUUUAGGGCUAGCCUCAAGUGAUGAUUAUUGGAGGUAGAGCACUGUUUGGACGAGGGGCCCCUCUCGGGUUACCGAAUUCAGACAAACUCCGAAUGCCAAUUAAUUUAACUUGGGAGUCAGAACAUGGGUGAUAAGGUCCGUGUUCGAAAGGGAAACAGCCCAGACCACCAGCUAAGGUCCCAAAAUAUAUGUUAAGUGGAAAAGGAUGUGGCGUUGCCCAGACAACUAGGAUGUUGGCUUAGAAGCAGCCAUCAUUUAAAGAGUGCGUAAUAGCUCACUAGUCGAGUGACACUGCGCCGAAAAUGUACCGGGGCUAAACAUAUUACCGAAGCUGUGGAUUGUCCUUUGGACAAUGGUAGGAGAGCGUUCUAAGGGCGUUGAAGCAUGAUCGUAAGGACAUGUGGAGCGCUUAGAAGUGAGAAUGCCGGUGUGAGUAGCGAAAGACGGGUGAGAAUCCCGUCCACCGAUUGACUAAGGUUUCCAGAGGAAGGCUCGUCCGCUCUGGGUUAGUCGGGUCCUAAGCUGAGGCCGACAGGCGUAGGCGAUGGAUAACAGGUUGAUAUUCCUGUACCACCUAUAAUCGUUUUAAUCGAUGGGGGGACGCAGUAGGAUAGGCGAAGCGUGCGAUUGGAUUGCACGUCUAAGCAGUAAGGCUGAGUAUUAGGCAAAUCCGGUACUCAUUAAGGCUGAGCUGUGAUGGGGAGAAGACAUUGUGUCUUCGAGUCGUUGAUUUCACACUGCCGAGAAAAGCCUCUAGAUAGAAAAUAGGUGCCCGUACCGCAAACCGACACAGGUAGUCAAGAUGAGAAUUCUAAGGUGAGCGAGCGAACUCUCGUUAAGGAACUCGGCAAAAUGACCCCGUAACUUCGGGAGAAGGGGUGCUCUUUAGGGUUAACGCCCAGAAGAGCCGCAGUGAAUAGGCCCAAGCGACUGUUUAUCAAAAACACAGGUCUCUGCUAAACCGUAAGGUGAUGUAUAGGGGCUGACGCCUGCCCGGUGCUGGAAGGUUAAGAGGAGUGGUUAGCUUCUGCGAAGCUACGAAUCGAAGCCCCAGUAAACGGCGGCCGUAACUAUAACGGUCCUAAGGUAGCGAAAUUCCUUGUCGGGUAAGUUCCGACCCGCACGAAAGGCGUAACGAUUUGGGCACUGUCUCAACGAGAGACUCGGUGAAAUCAUAGUACCUGUGAAGAUGCAGGUUACCCGCGACAGGACGGAAAGACCCCGUGGAGCUUUACUGUAGCCUGAUAUUGAAAUUCGGCACAGCUUGUACAGGAUAGGUAGGAGCCUUUGAAACGUGAGCGCUAGCUUACGUGGAGGCGCUGGUGGGAUACUACCCUAGCUGUGUUGGCUUUCUAACCCGCACCACUUAUCGUGGUGGGAGACAGUGUCAGGCGGGCAGUUUGACUGGGGCGGUCGCCUCCUAAAAGGUAACGGAGGCGCUCAAAGGUUCCCUCAGAAUGGUUGGAAAUCAUUCAUAGAGUGUAAAGGCAUAAGGGAGCUUGACUGCGAGACCUACAAGUCGAGCAGGGUCGAAAGACGGACUUAGUGAUCCGGUGGUUCCGCAUGGAAGGGCCAUCGCUCAACGGAUAAAAGCUACCCCGGGGAUAACAGGCUUAUCUCCCCCAAGAGUUCACAUCGACGGGGAGGUUUGGCACCUCGAUGUCGGCUCAUCGCAUCCUGGGGCUGUAGUCGGUCCCAAGGGUUGGGCUGUUCGCCCAUUAAAGCGGUACGCGAGCUGGGUUCAGAACGUCGUGAGACAGUUCGGUCCCUAUCCGUCGUGGGCGUAGGAAAUUUGAGAGGAGCUGUCCUUAGUACGAGAGGACCGGGAUGGACAUACCUCUGGUGUACCAGUUGUCGUGCCAACGGCAUAGCUGGGUAGCUAUGUGUGGACGGGAUAAGUGCUGAAAGCAUCUAAGCAUGAAGCCCCCCUCAAGAUGAGAUUUCCCAACUUCGGUUAUAAGAUCCCUCAAAGAUGAUGAGGUUAAUAGGUUCGA